AACGUAGGAGGCGAGCGUUAUCCGGAUUCACUGGGCGUAAAGCGCGUGCAGGUGGCUUGGUAAGUUAGGCGUGAAAUCUCCCGGCUCAACUGGGAGAGGUCGUCUAAUACUACCGGGCUUGAGAGCAGAAGAGGAAGAUGGAAUUCCCGGUGUAGUGGUGAAAUGCGUAGAUAUCGGGAGGAACACCAGUGGCGAAGGCGAUCUUCUGGUCUGUUUCUGACACUCAGACGCGACAGCUAGGGUAGUAAAC
rnacentral:rRNA from 1 species